UGCGGAGGGAUCAUUACCGAGUUUACAACUCCCAAACCCAUGUGAACAUACCUAUUGUUGCUUCGGCGGGAUUGCCCCGGGCGCCUCGUGUGCCCCGGAUCAGGCGCCCGCCUAGGAAACUCAACUCUUGUUUUAUUUUGGAAUCUUCUGAGUAGUUUUUACAAAUAAAUAAAAACUUUCAACAACGGAUCUCUUGGUUCUGGCAUCGAUGAAGAACGCAGCGAAAUGCGAUAAGUAAUGUGAAUUGCAGAAUUCAGUGAAUCAUCGAAUCUUUGAACGCACAUUGCGCCCGCCAGUAUUCUGGCGGGCAUGCCUGUCUGAGCGUCAUUUCAACCCUCAUGCCCCUAGGGCGUGGUGUUGGGGAUCGGCCAAAGCCCGCGAGGGACGGCCGGCCCCUAAAUCUAGUGGCGGACCCGUCGUGGCCUCCUCUGCGAAGUAGUGAUAUUCCGCAUCGGAGAGCGAUGAGCCCCUGCCGUUAAACCCCCAACUUUCUAAGGUUGACCUCAGAUCAGGUAGGAAUACCCGCUGAACUUAAGCAUAUC
rnacentral:rRNA from 1 species